UGGGGGAUAUUGCACAAUGGAGGGAACUCUGAUGCAGCGAUGCCGCGUGGAGGAAGAAGGUUUUCGGAUUGUAAACUCCUGUCUUUGGGGACGAUAAUGACGGUACCCAAGGAGGAAGCUCCGGCUAACUACGUGCCAGCAGCCGCGGUAAUACGUAGGGAGCGAGCGUUGUCCGGAAUUACUGGGUGUAAAGGGAGUGUAGGCGGGACGGCAAGUCAGAUGUGAAAUUUAUGGGCUCAACCCAUAACGUGCAUUUGAAACUGCUGUUCUUGAGUGAAGUAGAGGUAAGCGGAAUUCCUAGUGUAGCGGUGAAAUGCGUAGAUAUUAGGAGGAACAUCAGUGGCGAAGGCGGCUUACUGGGCUUUUACUGACGCUGAGGCUCGAAAGCGUGGGGAGCAAA
rnacentral:rRNA from 1 species